CGGACACCUAUCUUCGGAUAGAAGCGAGUGGCGAACGGCUGAGUAACACGUGGAGAACCUGCCCCCUCCCCCGGGAUAGCCGCCCGAAAGGACGGGUAAUACCGGAUACCCCGGGGUGCCGCAUGGCACCCCGGCUAAAGCCCCGACGGGAGGGGAUGGCUCCGCGGCCCAUCAGGUAGACGGCGGGGUGACGGCCCACCGUGCCGACAACGGGUAGCCGGGUUGAGAGACCGACCGGCCAGAUUGGGACUGAGACACGGCCCAG
rnacentral:rRNA from 1 species